AGGUGACCGGAAUUGUUUAGGUGUUUUGUGCUCCAAAAAGUGAAAAUUCAUCAUUAAAUUGGAUUCAAAUCAAAUGGCAAAUGGAUGAAAUCAUCGGGUUACUUUUGGGGAAUGGCCUAAUCCGAGCCAGAGGAAGAAGGAGAAGAAGAAUAAAUUAUCAACUACGAUUAUAUCGCCGGAAGAUCCGUGACAUGGUCAAUCCUUUCGAUAUCCCAGAAGGAGAAUUCAUCAGACUUUUCAGCAAACAAGUAUUCUGUGUUUGUACACGGCACUUGGGACUCUUGGAACCCUUAAGACCCUAUAAUGGUAUUUCUUCGUGAAAACCAUAAGACCAUUGGCCCUAAACAUCAUCAAGAAUAUCAAUAGUAUUC